rnacentral:rRNA from 1 species
AGUGAACGCUGGCGGUAGGCCUAACACAUGCAAGUCGAACGAGUGGCGGACGGGUGAGGAAUACAUCGGAAUCUACUCUGUCGUGGGGGAUAACGUAGGGAAACUUACGCUAAUACCGCAUACGAUUGAAUGAGCCGAUGUCGGAUUAGCUAGUUGGCGGGGUAAAGGCCCACCAAGGCGACGAUCCGUAGCUGGUCUGAGAGGAUGAUCAGCCACACUGGAACUGAGACACGGUCCAGACUCCUACGGGAGGCAGCAGUGGGGAAUAUUGGACAAUGGGCGCAAGCCUGAUCCAGCCAUACCGCGUGGGUGAAGAAGGCCUUCGGGUUGUAAAGCCCUUUUGUUGGGAAAGCGGUACCCAAAGAAUAAGCACCGGCUAACUUCGUGCCAGCAGCCGCGGUAAUAC